AGAGUUUGAUCCUGGCUCAGAACUAACGCUGGCGGCGUGCCUAACACAUGCAAGUCGAACGGUUUCAGGUGAAUAGGAGAGGUUCGCCUUUUUUAUUUUCUGGAAUAGUGGCGCACGGGUGAGUAAUACGUAGAUAACCUGUCCUUAGGACCGGCAUAACCUUUCGAAAGAGGGGCUAAUACGGGAUAAAACUGCGAUACGGCAUCGUAUCGUAGUAAAAGGAGAAGCUUAAGUUUCUUGCUAUCGCUUAAGGAGGGGCUUACGUCCUAUUAGCUAGUUGGUAGGGUAAAGGCCUACCAAGGCAACGAUGGGUAGGGGCGCUGAGAGGCGAAACCCCCACACUGGAAUUGAGAUACGGUCCAGACUCCUACGGGAGGCAGCAGUGGGGAAUUUUCCACAAUGCCCGAAAGGGUGAUGGAGCAACGCCGCGUGGGUGAUUAAGGCCUUCGGGUUGUAAAACCCUGCCAGGUAAGACGAAGGGUCUAUUUAUUAAUAGGCAAUAGACUUGACGGUACUACCAAAGGAAGCCUCGGCUAACUCUGUGCCAGCAGCCGCGGUAAGACAGAGGAGGCAAGCGUUGUUCGGAAUUACUGGGCGUAAAGAGCGCGUAGGCGGCUAGGUAAGUUAGAUGUGAAAUCUCCUUUUGAAACGAGGAAACUGCAUUUAAAACUACCUGACUUGAGUUUAGGAGAGGAAAGUGGAAUUCCCAGUGUAGCGGUGAAAUGCGUAGAUAUUGGGAGGAACACCAGUGGCGAAGGCGACUUUCUGGCCUAAAACUGACGCUGAGACGCGAAAGCUAGGGGAGCAAACAGGAUUAGAUACCCUGGUAGUCCUAGCCCUAAACGAUGGACACUAGGUGUAUUCCCUUUUUAGGGAGUGUGCCGUAGCUAACGCAUUAAGUGUCCCGCCUGGGGAGUACGACCGCAAGGU
rnacentral:rRNA from 1 species